GAGUUUUGAUCCUGGCUCAGAACGAACGCUGGCGGCGUGCCUAACACAUGCAAGUCGAACGUGAUCCAGAGCUUGCUCUGGUGAAAGUGGCGCACGGGUGAGUAACGCGUGGAUAACCUACCCUGGUAUCCGGGAUAACAUUCCGAAAGGGGUGCUAAUACCGGAUAAGCCCACGGGCUCUUUGGAGCUUGCGGGAAAAGGUGGCCUCUAUUUAUAAGCUACUGUAUCAGGAUGGGUCCGCGUACCAUUAGCUAGUUGGCGGUGUAACGGACCACCAAGGCRACGAUGGUUAGCUGGUCUGAGAGGAUGAUCAGCCACACUGGAACUGAGACACGGUCCAGACUCCUACGGGAGGCAGCAGUGGGGAAUUUUGCGCAAUGGGGGAAACCCUGACGCAGCAACGCCGCGUGAGUGAUGAAGGCCUUUGGGUCGUAAAGCUCUGUCAGAGGGGAAGAAAUGAUAUAGUGCUAAUACCACUUUAUCUUGACGGUACCCUCAAAGGAAGCACCGGCUAACUCCGUGCCAGCAGCCGCGGUAAUAC
rnacentral:rRNA from 1 species